GGGGCACUUGACGAGCCCGGUCACCUCCACGAUCCUUGUCGACCAGUCCGCCUUGGGCACGGCGCCGUGGUUGCACACGUAGUGGAGUGGCGUCGGCGUGAUGAAACCGUCAAGCAUGAGGCACGGCAGCAGCGGCUCGGAGUUAAAGGGGUGCUUGCCGGUGAGCCAGACGAGCACCGGGUGCCGACGCACCCACGCGUCACUGCGUCAGAGGUGGCCUCGUCGCAUGGGUCAUUGACGGGAGGCUCCACCUCGAGGCGCGAGUGGUACAACUACCUUCAGUCCGGUGGUAUGUCGUCAUCGUCGUCGGAGUCGGUCUUGGAGCCCAACCGACGGUUGUCGCCGGUGGAUGGGAACAAGUCGAUAAUUCUACAAUUUGUGAAGCUGGAUUCAGUCCAACAACUCAUUCCUCGGUUCCUCGCCUUGACAAUUAACAUAGGGAAGGGAAGGAAUCAACUAUCAGUAAGAGGGUUAGCAGAAGACUCCAUAGCUCUAGCUCAAGUGACGGACAUUGUUGAGAUAACUGCAUCUCCUCCUUGUGUGCCCCUCAACAGACAACCGUUUUGCGAAAGGAAAGUGGCUUCAGACCAACGAGGACCUGACUUUUAUGUGGUAAUAACAGUGGCUUCAGAUCAACGAGGACCUGACUUUUAUGUGGUAAUAACAGUGGCUUCAGAUCAACGAGGACCUGACCUGGUUAGCAAAUAUUUCGCUUCCCCUUGUGCAGUUCACGACUCACAGCGAAGAUAA
rnacentral:lncRNA from 1 species